GAGUUUGAUCCUGGCUCAGAUUGAACGCUGGCGGCAGGCCUAACACAUGCAAGUCGAGCGGCAGCGGGAAAGUAGCUUGCUACUUUUGCCGGCGAGCGGCGGACGGGUGAGUAAUGCCUGGGAAAUUGCCCAGUCGAGGGGGAUAACAGUUGGAAACGACUGCUAAUACCGCAUACGCCCUACGGGGGAAAGCAGGGGACCUUCGGGCCUUGCGCGAUUGGAUAUGCCCAGGUGGGAUUAGCUAGUUGGUGAGGUAAUGGCUCACCAAGGCGACGAUCCCUAGCUGGUCUGAGAGGAUGAUCAGCCACACUGGAACUGAGACACGGUCCAGACUCCUACGGGAGGCAGCAGUGGGGAAUAUUGCACAAUGGGGGAAACCCUGAUGCAGCCAUGCCGCGUGUGUGAAGAAGGCCUUCGGGUUGUAAAGCACUUUCAGCGAGGAGGAAAGGUUGAUGCCUAAUACGUAUCAACUGUGACGUUACUCGCAGAAGAAGCACCGGCUAACUCCGUGCCAGCAGCCGCGGUAAUAC
rnacentral:rRNA from 1 species